UCUCAGUCUCUCUCUUCUGCAACUCUCUCUUUCUCUCUUCUGCAACCUCCUCUUUCACCACCUCUAGACCACCAAAUGGCGAGCUGCGAGCAUCGAUAGACUCGUCUCUUCCUCCUUAUCACGCAUGUGGGAGUUGUUUACGACGAUUUGGCCGGAAAUGUGGAGAUCGAAGCCAACAUUUUUACUGUAGCAAAUUAGUCAACGCCGAUUUCCGGCCACCUCCAGUCAUAAACCCAGGUCCAUUAGAAGCGCCUUAAGCCGCUCUUCAUGCUCGCCAAGUCUCAUAACCCAGAUCGAAGCAUGGAGGAAGAAAGCAUAAUUGGAAAAUUUCACUGUACAUCGGAGUGCUUAAUUGUUCGGCUACUUCAAGGUGAUUGACGGUUUGAGUUGGUGGACGAUUGUGGAUCGUAUUUUGAGCUGAAUUGAAGACGCAGCGGGAUUAUCGAGCGGGAAAUCCUACAGGACAGGAGAACCAGGACGGUGAUCGUGCGGUUAGAGCAAUUGUUAGAGUUUUACAGCAAUUGUAAGUUGUGAGGUGCGUUAUGCUCAUUUAGAGCUUUACAAUAUUGCUUGUGAGAGUGAAUUGUAAUAAUGAACUCGAGGUUUCGAGAUUUGGAGUUUGUGUACC